GAAUACCCCCCCCUUCCCAUGUCAUGUGAGUUCUCAUGAGGGGGUGUUUCCUUUGGGGCAAGAAAACCAGAGGUGGCGCAUGGUUGUUCUCUUGUCGUGUCGUGAGAUGGGGGGUUAAGUCCAGCAACGAGCACCCCCCUUCCUUUUUCUUUCCAUCAUUAGGUUGGGCACUUUAAGGAGACUGCCGGUGACAAACCGGAGGAAGGUGGGGAUGACGUCAAAUCAUCAUGGCCCUUAUGGCUAGGGCUACACACGUCCUACAAUGGUCGGUACAAAGGGUCGCCAACCCGCGAGGGGGAGCCAAUCUCAUAAAACCGAUCGCAGUCCGGAUUGCAGUCUGCAACUCGCAUGCAUGAAGUCGGAAUCGCUAGUAAUCGCGAUCAGCAGACGUCGAUGCUUG
rnacentral:rRNA from 1 species